CCUGUCUCUUGCCAUCCUUGGGUCUAAGCUGUCUGGCAUUUAGUUGUCGGGCAGUGGCUGCCCAUCGUUUACUGUGAAAAAAUUAGAGUGUUCAAAGCAGGCUUAUGCCGUUGAAUAUAUUAGCAUGGAAUAAUAAGAUAGGACCUUGGUACUAUUUUGUUGGUUUGCGCACCGAGGUAAUGAUUAAGAGGGACAGUUGGGGGUAUUCGUAUUCAAUUGUCAGAGGUGAAAUUCUUGGAUUUCUGGAAGACGAACUACUGCGAAAGCAUUUACCAAGGAUGUUUUCAUUAAUCAAGAACGAAAGUUAGGGGAUCGAAGAUGAUUAGAUACCAUCGUAGUCUUAACCAUAAACUAUGCCGACUAGGGAUU
rnacentral:rRNA from 1 species